UACGUAGGGUGCGAGCGUUGUCCGGAAUUAUUGGGCGUAAAGAGCUCGUAGGCGGCUUGUCGCGUCGGAUGUGAAAGCCCGGGGCUUAACUCCGGGUCUGCAUUCGAUACGGGCAGGCUAGAGUUCGGUAGGGGAGAUCGGAAUUCCUGGUGUAGCGGUGAAAUGCGCAGAUAUCAGGAGGAACACCGGUGGCGAAGGCGGAUCUCUGGGCCGAUACUGACGCUGAGGAGCGAAA
rnacentral:rRNA from 1 species